rnacentral:lncRNA from 1 species
UGAAAGCAACGUCACAGAGAUGGAGCCAGGCAGACUGCUAUCUUCACUUUAUACAAGGACAAACUGAAUGAUGGACCGAGCAAAACUUGAAUGCAUGAUACACAGUAUUGAAAAUACUACUUGAGAAGACCCAAGGAGAACAUGAGAAGACAUGAGACACACCCACAACCUAGUGGGUGGAAGAGACAUGGGAUGGCAACUCAGUACACUACUAACAGACAUUUUAGACCAUGUUUAAAUCCUCUCCCAGAUACCAGUUAUAUCCAAAGUGGGACAUAAA